UUAUUUUUAAAAUAACCUACCUUGUCUCUUUCUUAGAUUCCCUUUCUCAAUAGUAGAGAUUGACUAAAGAUGCCCCUGCCCGCCAUCAUCGGUCUCUGUUUCCCAAACCCAACACCCAUCAUCUCUCUCCCAUGCCUGCCAGAGAUAAGUCUCUCUCUAUCUCUCUCUCUCUCUCCCGUUGAAAGAGCAAAUCUAUCCCACGGAUUUCCUUACUGUCCCAUUAAUGUGUUUAUUUAUUUCCCAUUCCUAUCCGUCGUAUUCGAUGGUCCUGCUUCACCUACCUACUAGGGUUUAACCCCUCUCCCUUCACUAUAAAUCCCACUUAUGGCCGCCUUCACUUGUCACAGCUAGUCUGAUCUCUUAUGGCGCUGGUGCUGUGUGGAUAAAACCAUAUAUGUUUUUUAUUAUUAUGAAUUAGGUCAUUUUUAAAUCUUAGUGCUCCCAAAGUACUGGUUUUGUAGGCUUGGAGUGUGCAAGGAAAACCGGUAGUGGGUAAUUUGCUGGUGGUGGGUAUAGGGUUAGUGAGGUGGAGGGGAGCUCCCUUUGGUCCAAUACCAGGAAGGAGAGAGGGUGUAGCCGGCUGCUGGUUCAUGGAUACCUCUGGAUUGCGCUGAAUAAGAAAUAGGGUGCGCAGCUUAAGGGUCUGCAUGAACCAGGAGACGUUUUUUCCUUCUCCUUUCCUUUCUUGGAUUGAAGGGAGCUCCAUUGCUCUCUCUCUCUCUCUCUCUCUUUGAUGUUUAAUUUGGUCCGUGAACUUUGUUAUGAUAUUGGGUUUCGAAAGUUGAAGCCCUAGAAACUACUUUCGUGGUAGAGGAAGCCAACAGUUCCAGCUUCCAACUCAGCAAACUUUCUGUCGGGCUGAUUGUCUGCAAAUCAGAGCUUGCCACAUCACGCGAUCCAGGACCAUGGAGGCCUUUUUCGCUCUGCAAAACAAAGGAAACUAAUCAUCGUUUUUUUUUUUUUUCUUUUUGUAUUUCAGCUUUAUACAGGAUCUACGUACAACUAUCUUCUUCUUUUGCAUUUUGUACGUUUGGAUAAAUGCUAGCAAUUAAUGGGUUGGAUAUCAUAUAUUAUACAUAUAAUAGGUUUUGUUUUAGGCCCAAUUAAGCUUGUAGCGACAACAUCAAUGGUUGCGCAUAUCUUUGCUACCAAAUCUAUACCAAGGCCAAGGGCCCCGUUUAGUAA